rnacentral:tRNA from 1 species
GGGUUAGUGGUCUAGUGGUAUGAUUCUCGCUUAGGGUGCGAGAGGUUCCGGGUUCAAUUCCGUCUAACCCC